rnacentral:snRNA from 1 species
GUAAUCUCUUAUAAGACAUUCAAUAAAAUUGGAAUGAUAAAGAGUAGAUCGGCAUGGCCCUUCCACAAGCAUAACAUGCCCUACUAAUAGCAGUAGGAGCAAAUUUGU